rnacentral:rRNA from 1 species
UUAAAUUGAAGAGUUUGAUCAUGGCUCAGAUUGAACGCUGGCGGCAGGCCUAACACAUGCAAGUCGAACGGUAACAGGAAACAGCUUGCUGUUUCGCUGACGAGUGGCGGACGGGUGAGUAAUGUCUGGGAAACUGCCUGAUGGAGGGGGAUAACUACUGGAAACGGUAGCUAAUACCGCAUAACGUCGCAAGACCAAAGAGGGGGACCUUCGGGCCUCUUGCCAUCGGAUGUGCCCAGAUGGGAUUAGCUAGUAGGUGGGGUAACGGCUCACCUAGGCGACGAUCCCUAGCUGGUCUGAGAGGAUGACCAGCCACACUGGAACUGAGACACGGUCCAGACUCCUACGGGAGGCAGCAGUGGGGAAUAUUGCACAAUGGGCGCAAGCCUGAUGCAGCCAUGCCGCGUGUAUGAAGAAGGCCUUCGGGUUGUAAAGUACUUUCAGCGGGGAGGAAGGGAGUAAAGUUAAUACCUUUGCUCAUUGACGUUACCCGCAGAAGAAG